AUGUUAGUUGGGGUCAACUGGGCCCUCAUCACAGAGGAGGGCACCCCCAGCUCUCAUAGUCUUCACACGGUCCCUGCAUCCGGGGUCACAGAGCAUGCGCAGAGCCUUCCCACCCACUUCCGGAGGAAGCGCCAAUCACCGCGCGGGCUGAGCCCCAGGCAGGAAGCCGCGAACUUGGUGGGAUUGGGGUUUGAGUACUUCCUCGCCGGCUCAGUGGAAUUUGUGGCGGCCCUGGCUGACCUCUGAGCAGAGGCUAGCUGUCCCAUCUGUCUGGACUACUUGAAAGACCCAGUGACCAUCAGCUGUGGGCAUAACUUCUGUCUCUCCUACAUCAUUAUGUCCUGGAAGAUCUAGGUGAUAGUUUCCCCUGCCCCUUUUGCCACUUUUGCUGUCCAGAAAGGAAAUUUGUAAGCAAUCCCCAGCUGGGUAGUUUGACUGAACUUGCUAAGCAACUCCAGAUAAGAAGCAAGAGGAAGAGGCAGGAAGAGAAGCAUGUGUGUAAGAAGCAUAAUCAGCUUUUGACUUUCUUCUGUCAGAAAGACCUAGAGCUUUUAUGUCCAAGGUGCAGUUUCUCCACUGAUCACCAGCAUCACUGUGUUUGGCCCAUAAAGAAGGCUGCCUCGUAUCAUAGGAAGAAACUGGAGGAAUAUAAUGCACCGUGGAAGGAGAGAGUGGAACUAAUUGAAAAAGUCAUAACUAUGCAAACCAGAAAAUCACUGGAACUGAAGAAACAGGUAAAACAUAGGGCAGAAGAAGUCAAGUCUGAAUUUGAGCAACUUAGGUUAUUUCUGCAAAAUCAGCAAGAGACUGUUCUUAGGCAAUUACAAGAUGAAGAGAUGGAUAUUUUAGCACAACUAAAUGAAAGCCUAACAAAAUUUUCAGAUUAUACCUCCUCAUUAAAAUAUCUCCUAAAGGAGAUAGAGAGCAUACAUGUGAAGUCAGAACUGGAAUUACUGGCUAAUGUUAAGGAUAUCUAUCACAGAUAUAAAAAUUUAAAAUUCCCUGAACCUUUUUCAUUCAAAUUAAAAGAAUAUGGUUACCAUCUGCCUCCACAGUAUUCUGGCCUAAACAAAAUCAUCAAGCGAUUUCAAGUAGAUGUAAUUCUAGAUCCUGAAACAGCACAUCGUAAACUUAUAGUCUCAGAAGAUAGAAAAACUGUGCGGUAUGGAAAUACAACACAAAACUUACCUCGUAACCCAAAAGAUUUUAUCUCCUCCCAGCUGUCCUGGGUUCUAAGGGAUAUAGCUGUGGCAGGCAGUACUGGGAAGUAGAAGUGAAAGACAAGCCUGAAUGGAUUCUUGGUGUCUGUAAUGACUCUCUUCCCAGAAGGAGGAAGAGUCAACCAAUUUUAGUACAGGAUGGACUAUGGGGAAUUUGACGAUCUAGUCAGAAUAAUUAUAUUGUAUUGGGCCAUAAGGAAAUUAUUCUGCUGCCCAAAGUAACACCUAGUAAGAUUGGCAUUUUUUUAGACUAUGAAAUGAAUGACGUUUCCUUUUAUAAUUUGAAUGAUAGAUCUCUUCUCUAUACUUUUAAUGAUGAUUUUACAGGAGCACUUUGGCCUUAUUUUUAUACUGGAACUGACUCAAGACCUCUUAAAAUUUCUACAGUAACAGAUUCUGAAUGAAGAACUGUUAAAAGACUGUCAUUUUGUUUCAACUAUUAGACAUAACUGAGCCAGUGAAUCUAGUUUUGGCCAUUCUGUAAUUUGUCCAGUUUUCCCCACCAAAAAAACAGAAUCGUUUAUAUCUCAGUUUCAGCAACUUCUAAAAAUAUGUGAUUAUAGGACCUACUUUAUAAUAAAUUAUGGAGUCGGCCAGGCGUGGUAGC